AUCUUCGGAUGUGUAUAAAGUGGCGAACGGCUGAGUAACACGUGGGCAACCUGCCCUUUGCACUGGGAUAGCCUCGGGAAACCGAGGUUAAUACCGGAUACUCCAUAUUUGUCGCAUGGCGAAUAUGGGAAAGCUCCGGCGGCAAAGGAUGGGCCCGCGGCCUGUUAGCUAGUUGGUGGGGUAGUGGCCUACCAAGGCAAUGAUGGGUAGCCGGGUUGAGAGACCGACCGGCCAGAUUGGGACUGAGACACGGCCCAGACUCCUACGGGAGGCAGCAGUGGGGAAUCUUGCACAAUGGGCGAAAGCCUGAUGCAGCGACGCCGCGUGCGGGAUGAAGGCCUUCGGGUUGUAAACCGCUUUCAGCAGGGACGAGGCCGCAAGGUGACGGUACCUGCAGAAGAAGCCCCGGCUAACUACGUGCCAGCAGCCGCGGUAAUACGUAGGGGGCAAGCGUUAUCCGGAUUCAUUGGGCGUAAAGCGCGCGUAGGCGGUCUGUUAGGUCAGGAGUUAAAUCUGGGGGCUCAACCCCUAUCCGCUCCUGAUACCGGCAGGCUUGAGUCUGGUAGGGGAAGAUGGAAUUCCAAGUGUAGCGGUGAAAUGCGCAGAUAUUUGGAAGAACACCGGUGGCGAAGGCGGUCUUCUGGGCCAUGACUGACGCUGAGGCGCGAAAGCUAGGGGAGCGAACAGGAUUAGAUACCCUGGUAGUCCUAGCUGUAAACGAUGGACACUAGGUGUGGGGAGAUUAUACUUUCCGUGCCGCAGCUAACGCAUUAAGUGUCCCGCCUGGGGAGUACGGU
rnacentral:rRNA from 1 species